GAUGAAGAACGUAGCGAAAUGCGAUACGUAAUGUGAAUUGCAGAAUUCAGUGAAUCAUCGAAUCUUUGAACGCACAUUGCGCCCGCCAGCACUCUGGCGGGCAUGCCUGUUCGAGCGUCAUUAUAACCCCUCAAGCUCAGCUUGGUGUUGGGGCCUGCUGCACUGGCAGCCCUUAAAAUCAGUGGCGGCGCCAUCUGGCUCUAAGCGUAGUAAUUCUUCUCGCUAUGGAGUCCUGGUGGAUGCUUGCCAUCAACCCCCAAUUUUUCUAUGGUUGACCUCGGAUCAGGUAGGGAUACCCGCUGAACUUAAGCAUAUCAAUAAGCGGAGGA
rnacentral:misc_RNA from 1 species